CUAAACUCUGCAGUACACCGGCCCUCCAGGACCGAGUUUGGGCACCCCUGUUUUAGAUGAAUGACGGCCCUUACACGCUCAUUUAGAUGCUGUUCAUGAGGACACGUCAAUUAUGAAAACUCUAUGAAGUCUCAUCAGCCACUGCUGAGAAGUAAAAACGCAGCUAACAGUUUCAGACAUCCUUUUGAUGCCAAAUGCUUACUGAGGAACGCCAGACAUGGACACGGCGACGUUAAAGUCCCCCAG
rnacentral:lncRNA from 1 species